GACGAACGCUGGCGGCGUGCUUAACACAUGCAAGUCGAACGGAAAGGCCCUGCUUUUGUGGGGUUCUCGAGUGGCGAACGGGUGAGUAACACGUGAGUAACCUGCCCUUGACUUUGGGAUAACUUCAGGAAACUGGGGCUAAUACCGGAUAGGAGCUCCUGCUGCAUGGUGGGGGUUGGAAAGUUUCGGCGGUUGGGGAUGGACUCGCGGCUUAUCAGCUUGUUGGUGGGGUAGUGGCUUACCAAGGCUUUGACGGGUAGCCGGCCUGAGAGGGUGACCGGCCACAUUGGGACUGAGAUACGGCCCAGACUCCUACGGGAGGCAGCAGUGGGGAAUAUUGCACAAUGGGAGGAAGCCUGAUGCAGCAACGCCGCGUGCGGGAUGACGGCCUUCGGGUUGUAAACCGCUUUCGCCUGUGACGAAGCGUGAGUGACGGUAAUGGGUAAAGAAGCACCGGCUAACUACGUG
rnacentral:rRNA from 1 species